UACAGAGGGUGCGAGCGUUAAUCGGAAUUACUGGGCGUAAAGCGUGCGUAGACGGUUAUUUAAGUCGGAUGUGAAAGCCCCGGGCUCAACCUGGGAAUUGCAUUCGAGACUGAAUAGCUAGGGUGCGGUAGAGGGAAGCGGAAUUUCCGGUGUAGCGGUGAAAUGCGCAGAUAUCAGGAGGAACACCGGUGGCGAAGGCGGGUCUCUGGGCCGAUACUGACGCUGAGGAGCGAAAGCGUGGGGAGCAAACAGG
rnacentral:rRNA from 1 species